AGGUGCGAUCAUACCAGCACUAAUGCACCGGAUCCCAUUAGAACUCUGCAGUUAUGCGUGCUUGGGCGAGAGUAGUACUAGGAUGGGUGACCUCUUGGGAAGUCCUCGUGUUGCACCUC
rfam:Lupinus angustifolius cultivar Tanjil chromosome LG09, whole genome shotgun sequence.